rnacentral:tRNA from 1 species
GCCGAGCUAGCUCAGUUGGUAGAGCAAUGCUUUCGUAAAGCAUAGGUCGUCGGUUCGAGCCCGAUGCUCGGCU